rnacentral:rRNA from 1 species
AGUAACGCGUGGGUAACCUGCCUUGUACAGGGGAUAACAGUUGGAAACGGCUGCUAAUACCGCAUAAGCGCACGGCAUCGCAUGAUGCAGUGUGAAAAACUCCGGUGGUAUAAGAUGGACCCGCGUUGGAUUAGCUAGUUGGUGAGGUAACGGCCCACCAAGGCGACGAUCCAUAGCCGACCUGAGAGGGUGACUGGCCACAUUGGGACUGAGACACGGCCCAA